rnacentral:lncRNA from 1 species
GUUCAUUCUGGAACAGAGUUAAUAUUACAUUUUGGGACUGAGGAGUGACAAUUUUUUCAAGGUCUAAAGCACACCUCCAAUUGCUUGUACUUGUUGUACUAAAUUUUAUCAAGCAAUAAAUCUGCAAGAAACAUGGAAAGAAAAGGGAAUAAUUAUGCUUUUGAUCCUGUUUUGAAGUCCAAAUACUAAUUAAUCUGACCCUGUUUUACUUACCGGUGUCAACUUAACAGCGUUAAACUCAAGGCCAAAUAAUUUUAUCAAGUCUGGUUUUGGAGGUAUGGGUCUAUUCGGUGCAUGAUACUAUCGCAAUCGUGUAUUGUGUGAAUCAUGUAGCAUAAGAUGAACUGACUUUGAUUUUAAUUGUGAACUAUGUUGGGAGAAAUAUAGAUUGUCCCAUGAUUUUAUCAUUAAUCUAAACAAGAUUCUAACCAAAGUCAAUAGAGAAUAUCUUCAACUGUACUAUCCAUCCCAAUUCAAUUCAACAAAGAAUAUCAGUAAUUGUACUAUCCAUUAUCCAUCUCAAUUCAAUUAAACCAAGAAAAUGUUAGAACUGUACAGUUCAUCUCAAUUCAAUUCAGCUAAUCACAUUAAUUAUUUAUACUCUAUAUUCUCCGUGUAACUAUACUCCCUCACCCUUUGACUCCGUAUAGUUGCUUCGUAUUGACUGGUGUAAAUGUUACAUAUAUGAUGUGUCCUAUAGACAUGCACUUUUCUCAACGGAAGUACCACGUACUCAACCCUACAUGAUAGAGUAAGAAAAUUGUACUCAGAUAAGGAAACAUGGCUAGUCCGAGCUGGGUACGAUUUUACCUACCGGAUCAUUGAGCCCAAGGAUUUCUUCAAGUCAUACUCAAUUUUUAAGA